rnacentral:rRNA from 1 species
GACGAAGGGUGCAAGCGUUAUCCGGAUUCAUUGGGUUUAAAGGGUGCGUAGGUGGCCUUGUAAGUCAGUGGUGAAAUCUCUGGGCUUAACCCAGAAAUUGCCAUUGAUACUGUAGGGCUUGAGUAUAGAUGCCGUUGGCGGAAUAUGACAUGUAGUGGUGAAAUACAUAGAGAUGUCAGAGAACACCGAUUGCGAAGGCAGCUAACGAAACUAUAACUGACACUGAGGCUCGAAAGUGUGGGGAGCAAACAGG